rnacentral:rRNA from 1 species
AUUGAACGCUGGCGGCAGGCCUAACACAUGCAAGUCGAACGGCAGCACAGAAGAGCUUGCUCUUUGGGUGGCGAGUGGCGGACGGGUGAGUAAUGUCUGGGAAACUGCCCGAUGGAGGGGGAUAACUACUGGAAACGGUAGCUAAUACCGCAUAACGUCGCGAGACCAAAGUGGGGGACCUUCGGGCCUCACACCAUCGGAUGUGCCCAGAUGGGAUUAGCUAGUAGGUGGGGUAAUGGCUCACCUAGGCGACGAUGCCUAGCUGGUCUGAGAGGAUGACAAGCCACACGGGAACUGAGACACGGUCCAGACUCGUACGGGAGGCAGCAGUGGGGAAUAUUGCACAAUGGGCGCAAGCCUGAUGCAGCCAUGCCGCGUGUAUGAAGAAGGCCUUCGGGUUGUAAAGUACUUUCAGCGGGGAGGAAGGCGGUGAGGUUAAUAACCUCGCCGAUUGACGUUACCCGCAGAAGAAGCACCGGCUAACUCCGUGCCAGCAGCCGCGGUAA